rnacentral:rRNA from 1 species
AACGAACGCUGGCGGCAGGCUUAACACAUGCAAGUCGAACGCAUCGCAAGAUGAGUGGCAGACGGGUGAGUAACGCGUGGGAACAUACCCUUUUCUACGGAAUAGCUCUGGGAAACUGGAAUUAAUACCGUAUACGCCCUACGGGGGAAAGAUUUAUCGGGGAAGGAUUGGCCCGCGUUGGAUUAGCUAGUUGGUGGGGUAAAGGCCUACCAAGGCGACGAUCCAUAGCUGGUCUGAGAGGAUGAUCAGCCACAUUGGGACUGAGACACGGCCCAAACUCCUACGGGAGGCAGCAGUGGGGAAUAUUGGACAAUGGGCGCAAGCCUGAUCCAGCCAUGCCGCGUGAGUGAUGAAGGCCUUAGGGUUGUAAAGCUCUUUCACCGAUGAAGAUAAUGACGGUAGUCGGAGAAGAAGCCCCGGCUAACUCUGUGCCAGCAGCCGCCGUAACAC